UGUUAAUAAUUUUAUCAAUGCGUACAAUUAAAAAUUAGUGUGAUUGACGGAAUAACUAGACAACGAUGUGUGUUGAUGUACAUGGAUCAAGUUUUAACCGUAGAAAUGGAUGAAAUUUUUAACA
rfam:Gossypium raimondii Chr04_contig_29, whole genome shotgun sequence.